GGUGUGUGGUUGACCACACUGUGGACGGAGCGCAGUAUUACAGACAGAGCCUCGUUGACAAAGAUGAAAACCACUGAAAUCUGAGGAAGAUCUUCUGGAUAUGUCAGCUGCUUGCACCUGUGCUCUGUUGAACUGGGACAUCAGACAAGCAACUGUAGGAUGUGUGAGGAAAGGCGACCCACCAGGUGGAUCCCAGCAUGGAUCCGAUUUGUACCUGUCUUAACCGGUGGGGAAGUCUUGUAAGGCUGUAACAGGAGUGAUUGACUCAUCUGCUGAGACAGGUCUGAGCUCAACGGCCAGCAGUCAUAAUUUGACCAAGUACAGGCUUUGACAGAAACAGAACGCUAGAUUAAGAUGUAUUUCCAAGAUACCUCCCCCAUCUCCACCUGUGCCAGCUUGCAGUCCCAGCUGCUGGCUUUGGCGUUUUCCCCAGAUCGAAACGAAAGUUGUACAUGCUGUGGAUUUCAACUAAAGCAAUGCAACCGUCAUGGUUUUACCGCUCAAAAUAUAUAUUCCCUCAAAGACUGUUUACGUAACCCUCCCUAAAAUCCACUCAGGUGGUACCUAUUACUGUA